CGAAGCAACCGAGUAUUCUAUAUAUCAGCCUGUCUUCCUCUCAUCCUUGACAUCGACUCCUACGCCUAACUUCUUCUGUGUCGGUGGCUUAAUCCAUUCGGACCCAAGAUGAGUUACUAUGCUCAGCAGCAGGCUCCUCCUCCUCCUCCUCCUCCUCAAGCUUAUCCCCCACCACCCAGUUCUUACCCUCCGCCGGAGCAGGCACCGACUUACGUGGCGCCUCCGCCGGCAGGCUAUCCGACGAGGGAUGGCGGCCUGAGUUCAGCACCGGUUCCGAUCGAGACGAAGAGCCGUGGCGAUGGAUUCUGGAAGGGAUGCUGUGCCGCUUUGUGUUGCUGCUGGGUUCUGGAUGUGUGCUUCUGAGGAUAGCAGCAGGAUAUAUACCGAGACCUCUACUUUUCAUGAUGCAGUUAUCAUUUGUGUGUUCUCUAUGUUUGAUUAUGACAUUUUAGUAUGAGAAUUUGUUGUUCUUGGAGUGCUAAUUUCACAGAUUGAUCUUUUUCUUAUUUCCAAGAGAGCUUUAAACCAUGAUUGUUCAGUGCUUGCUACAAGGAAUUCCUGAAACAGCAAAAAGAAAGAAAGAAAGAGAGGCAUUGCUGUGCUGGAUGUUGGGGGCUGAAGCUCCAUAUAACAAGCAUACUUGGUAGUAACAUCAAGAUCAUCCCUACUUUGAAGAACAUGAAACUCCUUACCCAGUUCAUUUUGAUUGCUCGAAAUACGAAUGAGUAAUUGCACCAGAUCUGAACACAUUUUUCCCAGGCAGACCAUUCAUGUCAAUCCAUCAACUUCCUGAUGAUAACUUGCAGUGUAUAUUAAUUACUCGCAGAAAACUGGAAGUGGAGCCAACAACAGUAACCAUCGAAACCUUGAAUUAUCUAUCAGAUCCAUACUGCAAGUAUCAGAUGAAUUGCCGUGGUGACAGGGAGAGCAAGUUGAGAGUCAAAUUUGGCAGCUGGGGAUUCGCAUAUGAUCGAAUAAAUCCCUGUGAAAAGUUGGAUUUGCCUUGAUCUUCAACAUACUGGGCGUCUGCAGGUCAAGACAUUCUGGAAUAAAGGCCCUGUUUUCCUGAGACAAAAUAAAAAGAGACACUUUCUGGUUUCUGCAGAGGUUCUUGAUCCCCCAAGUGCAGUGAAACGCAAAGGUCUUCACCGGAUAAGUUUAUUAGUGCAGACACAUUCUUCCUUUCCAGAUUGUCUUCUUCAGUGCGAUGAUUAGGAGACAUGCUAAGUAAGUUCGGGAUAAAAUGAUGCUCUUCCACAUUGUUUGCAACCUCAACCGUAUCCACCUGAAACUCGAUAGCUACUAAAGGUGCAUCAGCUCCUGAACCAGAAGCACCUUCAGGAGGGAACUGCUGAAUGUUACUGCCUAGGGGCUCAUAUAUCUCAUUAGCCUUUUCAUUUGGAAGGUUCCCUAGAGUUGGAUAUGAUUUGCCAACAUUGGAAUUGAUAGCAGCUGCUAAAGCAAAUCUUUGAUCC